GAACCUGCGGCAGGUUCGUGUCGAACACAGUGAGACAACGGAGCCGCUUGCGGCGACGGCCCGAAGGGCGAGCGAAGCGAGUCAUCCUGCACGACCCACCA
rnacentral:sRNA from 1 species